rnacentral:rRNA from 1 species
UACGUAGGUGGCAAGCGUUGUCCGGAUUUAUUGGGUUUAAAGGGUGCGUAGGCGGCUUUGUAAGUCAGCGGUGAAAUACUCUAGCUUAACUAGAGGGGUGCCAUUGAUACUGCGGAGCUUGAGUACAGAUGAGGUAGGCGGAAUUGACGGUGUAGCGGUGAAAUGCAUAGAUAUCGUCAAGGACACCGAUAGCGAAGGCAGCUUACUGGGCUGUAACUGGCGCUGAUGCACGAAAGUGUGGGGAUCAAACAGG